GACGAACGCUGGCGGCGCGCCUAACACAUGCAAGUCGAACGAGCGAGAGAGAGCUUGCUUUCUUGAGCGAGUGGCGAACGGGUGAGUAACGCGUGAGGAACCUGCCUCAAAGAGGGGGACAACAGUUGGAAACGACUGCUAAUACCGCAUAAGCCCACGGUGCCGCAUGGCACAGAGGGAAAAGGAGCAAUCCGCUUUGAGAUGGCCUCGCGUCCGAUUAGCUAGUUGGUGAGGUAACGGCCCACCAAGGCGACGAUCAGUAGCCGGACUGAGAGGUUGAACGGCCACAUUGGGACUGAGACACGGCCCAGACUCCUACGGGAGGCAGCAGUGGGGAAUAUUGCACAAUGGGGGAAACCCUGAUGCAGCGACGCCGCGUGGAGGAAGAAGGUCUUCGGAUUGUAAACUCCUGUUGUUGGGGAAGAUAAUGACGGUACCCAACAAGGAAGUGACGGCUAACUACGUG
rnacentral:rRNA from 1 species